AUUCUCUCUGUCUCCAAAGUUGCCUAAAAGAAAGCGUAGAAAAGACUAAGAAUGGCAAAGCAAUAUAUUUGCUAAGCCAUCGCACAAACCCUAAGACAUAGGUCCUUUAUUCCAACUAGGAAACUAAAUAAUAGCAAAAUAUCUUAGAAAAUAAAGUCAUAAUUAAACUAGGAGAAACUGCACAGAAACUGUCCACCCACGUUUUAACCUCAAAUCUCCUCAAAAUCUGGCCCAUAACAGCUUGUUUAGAAGAUCAAGACGUUCUGAACACAUCUCCAGAAGGCCACGAACCCAUCCGAGGUCCUCUUAGGCUCCAAAAACGCAAGUCAAGCCCAAAACGUCACUAUUCCAGCACCGCGCAUCACUCCUUUAUUUUAUUGCCAGAAAAUAACCGCUUAGUGGAAAAAUCUAAUAUUUUGAUAUGAUCAAGCAAAAUGACUCACAAUCGUCCUCCAACUAGAAUUACUUCAAAAUUCGUCCAUUUGACCAUGUUUUGCUCCAGAAGAAGUCGAAAGUCCUAUAUUGAAAAUACAAUUCAAAGUAUCAAAAUUCUUCCAAAAUAUUAACUAAAAUAUACUAAGAAUAGGAUAAAAUAUAUAAUGUGAAAUUGACUCAUCAAUAACCAUAGGCCUAGUCUAAUGGUGUAGGCACCCAUUGCGGGUAUACCAAGUAUGAUCACCCCUAAAAUUGGUAAGCCCCUUCAUCGCGGAUAUACCAAGCAAGGCCGUCUCUUAUAGCUCUAGGUAGUGAUCACUCAUCAAGGAUUUACCAAGCAUGAUCACCCCUAGCAUGCGUAUGGUCCCCCAUUGUAGAUAUACUAAGCGGAACCAUAGGCAUACUCUAAUCGCACAGGCAGUGAUCACCCAUCGCAGAUAUACCAAGCAUAAUCACCCCUGAAAUAAGUAUGGUCCCCUAUAAAAACAAAACGUUGCAAACAUAUUUAUCAAUCUUAAACUAUUAGGGCUUUCAAUUCCAUUAGGAUCGACAUUACAUAAGGUAUAAUAACAAAGAGCUUAUUUUAGCCAUAACACAUGUACUCUUCACCAAAUCUCACUUUAGCCCCCACACUCUAUAUUGACUCAAUUUACCACCUGCACUCUUUCUUCGUGUCACACUGUAGCCCCUACACUCUAUAUUGUCUCACUUUAACACAUGCAUUCUUCCUCAAUAUCCCACUUUUACCAUAUUUCAUCAAAUAAUUAAAAAGAGCCAUUAAUUGUGCUAACGUGGCAUGGACAAUUUAGUUUUUUCAACUAUGUUAGUAAGACCCAUUGGUGAAAGAAUGUGAGUUAAACUCAAACCAGGGUUUGAUUUCUCCAUUCUAAAGAAAAUAAAGAAGAGGAGAGCGAUAGAGGUAGAUUCUCCUCAAGAAUCUCUGUAAAAGAACAUUGAAAUUGAUUCGUAAAGUGAAAUUCAACCUUCACUUCUUAUAUUUCAACCUUCAUUUCUUAUAUUCAACCUUCUUUCUUAUAUUUUUCUCUUGAUAUGGGAAAUCAAACCCUAGUUUGAGUUUAAUCCACCUGUUAUUAUCCUUGGGUCCUACUAACAUACCAUGUCACAUGCCACACAACCAACUUAGUUGAAAAUUUUAAAUUGUCCAUGUCACAUCAACACAACUAAUGUCUCUCUUAUAACUUAUUUGACGAAAUAUGGUGAAAUAAGACAUUGAGGAAGAAUACAUGUUUUAACGUGAGACAAUAUAGAACAUAUGAAUAAAAUGCGACAUGAAGAAAGAAUACCGAUGAUAAAGUGAAAGAAUAUAAAUCAUAGAUAUAAAAGUAAGAUAUUGCGAAGAAUACAAGUAUUAUAACUAAAAUUAAGCCGAACAAAAGAUUGUAUGGACUUAUAAGGUUUGACAUUACCCAAAUUAUGUGUCUUUUUUUCCCAAGAGUUAUCAGUUAAAAAUUAACUGAAAGCGGGUUACAAUGAUUCUUUUUCUUGUUACACAAGUAACCUAGUUUGGUACGAGGUUGGUGUUCGAUCCGGUUGCCUCGUGGUGUCAAAAUUUGUACAGCACUGCUGGCACCAAAUUAACGACCUCAUUUAUUUCAUUUAUUUUUGAAUUUUUUUAAUAUCAACCUCCUUUUUUUAAUUUUGAAAAUAAAAAGACAAAAAACCCAAAGCUCCCCUGUUCUUGGCCACCCACCACCCGCCACCCGCCGCCACCUCCUCCCGCCCCGCCCCCAUCAGCUCUGCCUUCUUCCUCGACUUCAAAUCCUAAUCGAACACAUUCUUCGUUCCCCACGAUCAAUUGGUCGCAUUUUUUUAUUAUAUAAUUUUUAUAUAAUAUAGAAAUGAACAGGUAAAGGCUCGAUUUUCACAAUGAGAAUCCGUUUGGAACCGGGGCAUGAUUCAGGAGGUGAAAGGGACCUGGAGAAGGGGCUGGCGCAGCCCUCGACCCCAGGAGCUCUGUCGGAGCCGCCGUCGUCGCCGCACCCGUCGAGGCCGACCCUGGUGGUCUCCAAUUCCAGCAAGGCCCUACUGGUUUCAAAUUCCGGCAAGGCAUUGCUGGUUUCAAAUUCCGGCAAGGCAUUGCUGGUUUCAAAUUCCGGCAAGUCUCUGGUCGUGUCGAAUUCCGGGAAGCGCCUUGAUCAGUUGGGGAGGAAGAAGUAUGUGAAGCAGGUGACCGGGCGCAACAAUGACACGGAGCUUCACCUGGCUGCGCGCCGCGGGGAUUUGGCAGCGCUGCAGCAGUUUCUAGCGGAGAUUGACGCUCAGAUGGUGGGAUCCGAGUUUGAUGAAGAGGUGGCAGAGAUUAGGUCUGCCAUUGUGAAUGAGGUGAAUGAGUUGGGAGAGACGGCGCUUUUCAUAGCGGCGGAGCAGGGGCAUCUUGCUAUGGUGGAGGAGCUUUUGCCUUACAUGACGGAGGAGGGCAUUUUGUUGAAGAAUCAAAUUGGGUUUGAUGCAUUGCAUAUUGCUGCAAAUCAAGGGCACCAAGCCAUUGUCCAGGUGCUCUUAGACCAUGACCCUGGGCUUAGCAAAACAGUUGGGCAGGCAAAUGCUACCCCUCUUGUGUCUGCAGCUACAAGAGGGCAUACAGCAGUAGUUAAAGAAUUACUAUCCAAAGAUUCGAGUUUGCUGGAAGUAGCAAAAUCCAAUGGGAAGAAUGCAUUGCAUCUUGCUGCACGGCAGGGGCAUGUAGAAAUUGUGAAAACUUUGCUUGGAAGGGAUCCACAACUAGCAAGAAGAACUGAUAAGAAAGGACAAACUGCUUUGAAUAUGGCAGUAAAAGGUGUUAGCAGUGAACUUGUGAGGUUGAUUGUCGAUGCGGAUCCAGCUAUUGUCAUGCUUCCAGACAAGUUCGGCAAUUCAGCAUUGCAUGUGGCCACCAGGAAAAAGCGAGUAGAUAUAGUCAAUGUGCUAUUGCUCGUUCAUGACACAAAUGUGAAUGUUCUAACAAGAGACCAGAAAACACCCCUUGAUAUAGCCGAAGGACUUCCAUACUCUGAAGAAAUCACAACAAUUAAGGAAACCUUGACACAAUAUGGCGCUGUCCGAGCAAAUGAACUUAACCAGCCACGGGAUGAGCUUAGAAACACCGUGACAGAGAUUAAAAAAAAUGUCCAUAAUCAGCUUGAACAAGCCCGCAAAACCAACCAGAGUGUUACUGGAAUUGCCACGGAGCUCCGGAAGCUACAAAGGGAAGGAAUCAAUAAUGCCACUAACUCAGUCACAGUGGUUGCUUCACUCUUUGCAACAGUAGCUUUUGCAGCUCUAUUUACACUUCCUGGUGGUGAUCUUGACUCCGGGGCAGCUGUUAUGUCAAUCCAAGUGUCAUUUAAAAUUUUCAUCCUUUUCAAUGCUGUUUCACUGUUCGCAUCAUUGGCUGUUGUUUUGGUACAAAUCACCCUCGUCAGGGGGGAGACAAAGGCCGAGAGGAGGGUUGUGGAAGUGAUCAAUAAGUUGAUGUGGCUGGCCUCUGUCUGCACUACAGUAGCAUUUAUUUCUUCAUCAUAUAUAGUGGUUGGGCGGCAUAAUGUGUGGGCUGCAAUCCUUGUCACAGUUAUAGGGGGACUUAUAAUGGGGGGAGUUAUUGGUACCAUGACAUAUUACGUGGUGAAGACCAAAAGGAUUCAUAGAGUGAGGAAGAGAGAGAAGAUGUCGAGGAUUGGAACCAACUAUUCCGUGCGUCACUCAGAGUCCGAUUCAGAAGUGAACCGUGUUUAUGCCCUGUGAUCAUAGUCUGGCUGGAACUAGCCUCUGGUUCUAUGCCACAUGGAGAAGAAAAUCAACACAGGAUUAGCUGAUUCCGAAAAGGUUCUAAGCUAUAGAUACAAAAUUCAGGGACCUUGUAAUAGCAUCUGUGAAUGGACUUGUUUGAAAGUGAUUUUCUAGGUGUCUCAAGGAUUAAGAAAUUUUUCAGCAAAGCUGUUGAUGUCCUUGAAUCUUCAAAGGCAGCAAGUGAGAUAUAUCAUCUGUAUAUGAUAUGGCAUAUACAUGGUACCGGUCCAUUUGUAACUUGUAUAGGUUUUUGUCAGUGAUGAGAGAAGCAGUGCUCCAAUUAGAGGAUUCGAGAUUUUGACAAUGUUUCUGCAGAAGGAUAAAAAAAAACGUUUGCUUCAGUGCAAUAAAUCUGGCGGAUGACGAUCCCAUCGCACGACUGACCUCUUUUCAUACACUGGAAGACUUUGACAUCCUUGACUUGUUCGUUAGCCGAAGCUGGUAGCCAAGGGCCAAGGCAUGCUUUCUUCCUCUAAUUGACGUCUCUAUCAUCGUCAAUGCGCAUUAGGACUGCACUUAGAGAUGACCCCAUUUGAUUAAACACAUGUUUAGGUUGGGAAUAAUCUCAGUGAACGAAAAAACAAUGCAGAUAUUCUGAUGUCGAUGUCAAGCAAUCCACUUCAUGGAACAGAUAGUCCAUUAUGUUACGUAUAUUUAUUUGUCCGCUAAUUAAGAUCGUGAAUGGUUGGGAUAACAAGAAGUGCUUUUGCUUUUGUUUUUGGUUAAAUUAUUGCAGGCUUUUGCUUUUCUGAGUGGCCAAGUACGGUCUCUCAUUAGUCAUCAGGGGAACCAGGUGCAUCACGCGGUGCAGAAAGUCUUGAAUCCGCGUGACUGUGGCCUCUAAAAGACAGUGAAGCUACUCGGUUGCACACUCUGUUCACUGGAACUGUUCCUUUUGUCUAAAAUUUUCCUUUUGGGAAGAUCAAAAGCCCACUCUUAGUAACAUUUGACAGAAAAAGUUAAAAGUGAUUUUGGAUUAUGAAAGCACAACUUUUUU